UAGUAUCAGCGUGUCAGCCGCCGCGGUAAUACGAAGGGUGCAAGCGUUACUCGGAAUUACUGGGCGUAAAGCGUGACGUAGGUGGUUUGUUAAGUCUGAUGUGAAAGCCCUGGGCUCAACCUGGGAACUGCAUUGGAAACUGGCUUACUACGAGUGCGGUAGAGGGUACGUGGAAUUCCCGGUGUAGCAGUGAAAUGCGUAGAUAUCGGGAGGAACAUCUGUGGCGAAGGCGACUACCUGGACCAGCACUGACACUGAGGCACGAAAGCGUGGGGAGCUAAACAGGGAUUAGAUACCCCUGGGUAGUCCACGCCCUAAACGAUGCGAACUGGAUGUUGGGAGCAACUUGGCUCUCAGUAUCGAAGCUAACGCGUAAGUCGCCGACCUGGGAAGUACGGUCGCAAGACUGAAACUUAAAUGAAUUGG
rnacentral:rRNA from 1 species